AAGCCAGUCAGGCUCUUGGUUCAGUCCUUCGGGUACCCAUCUGACGUCAUUACGUCGGCAGACGUCUCUCCCUGGAAGUCCGAAGUUGCCCGAGAACAAUGGCUGCCUGACAACGACUGUUUCACUUCGGCGAAAGGUUAUCAAGGAAACAAGUGGUGUACUGGAUGAAGUUUGAUGGACUCUUCUGAUCAGGUGCUGCAGGUCUUCCAGCUACUGUUUGGAGAAGAUAUUUCCUCUCAAUUUAUGGAAGUAGGGAAUUUUUCUGAAGGCAGAAAUCAAGGAUUCAAGAACCCAAGUUGGACUCUUGAUUCCACUGAGACCACUGUGUGCAUUUUGAAAUGUUCCAAAUGUGUGUCACGUCCAUACGGAAGAAGUUCCAAGCCCACAAUGGGCUCUAUGAACUGUCCAGGGCAAAGUCGGUCUACCCUGAUGACACUCCCUGUUCCUUGAUGGUAACCAUGGCUGCUGCCCUCAACGUGAGCCCUCAGAAAUAAACUGAUAUCAAUAAUUAAUAUGGAUGGUGAUUGUGGCAAGGGUGCCUCCAUAAGGUGCCAUCCAGAAGUCCCAGCCUGGAGCCAGUGGCUGCUAUUGCAAUACUCAUGGGGGAUGAUCUGCAGGCAAAGCUGCGAUUAGACACUUGACAUUUACUGCGAAAGGUACCAUCAGAGCACCUCUCCCUACCCUGCAGGAUAUCUAUACCAGAAAAGUACAACAACGGCCCAAAACUAUUUCCAAAAGACAUUUCACACCCUGACCAUGGACUGUUUAAACCACUGAGGUCAAGCAGACGUCUCUGUUCCCACAUGGCUAAAACAGAAAGGAAACAAGGAGUCUUUUCUCAAUAU